AUUGAACGCUGGCGGCAGGCCUAACACAUGCAAGUCGAGCGGCUGAAGGGUGCUUGCUCCUGGAUUCAGCGGCGGACGGGUGAGUAUUGCCUAGGAAUCUGCCUGGUAGUGGGGGAUAACGUCAGGAACGGGGGGCUACUACCGCAUAGGUUCUGCGGCAGAAGGAGGGGGUUCUUUGGACCUAACGCUGCAUGAUGUAAUUACGUUGGAUUGGUUAGUUGGUGGGGUAAAGGCCAACCAACCGGACCAUCCGUACCUGGCAUGGGAGGAUGAUCGUCCACACUAGAACGGUGACCCGGUCCAGACUCCUACGGGAGGCAGCAGUGGGGAAUAUUAGACAAUUGGCGCAAGCCUGAUCCAGCCAGGCCGCGUGUGUUAAGAAAGUCUUCGGAUUGUGAAGCACGUUAAGUUGGGAGGAAGGGCAGUAAGUUAAUACCUAGCUGUUUUGACGUUACCGACAGAAGAAGCACCGGCUAACUUCGUG
rnacentral:rRNA from 1 species